rnacentral:rRNA from 1 species
AACGAACGCUGGCGGCAGGCCUAACACAUGCAAGUCGAACGCCGUAGCAAUACGGAGUGGCAGACGGGUGAGUAACACGUGGGAACGUACCCUUCGGUUCGGGAUAAGCCAGGGAAACUUGGUCUAAUACCGGAUACGUCCGCAAGGAGAAAGAUUCAUUGCCGAAGGAUCGGCCCGCGUCCGAUUAGCUAGUUGGUGAGGUAAUGGCCCACCAAGGCGACGAUCGGUAGCUGGUCUGAGAGGAUGAUCAGCCACACUGGGACUGAGACACGGCCCAGACUCCUACGGGAGGCAGCAGUGGGGAAUAUUGGACAAUGGGCGCAAGCCUGAUCCAGCCAUGCCGCGUGAGUGAUGAAGGCCCUAGGGUUGUAAAGCUCUUUCGCCAGGGACGAUAAUGACGGUACCUGGAGAAG